CCACCUCUGCUUGAAGAUCGUGUGAAACCCUAUUAUCAGUUUUGUCAGCAGGAAAUCGGAAAAAAAAAGCUUAAAUCACAUAUAGAUACUAGAUUAGUAACCCAUAUAACCUAAUAUUAGCGGCAGUCUUAACUUCAAAAUUUUAGUUUUCCUCUUAUCUAUCUUAAACCGCAUAACCAGUUCACCCUAAAACCGCAUAUGAGACCUAAUUUCUGAUGCUCGUUUGUGGUUCUCGCCAUAAGGGUGAAGUGAUAGAUGUUUCAUUAUCAAAUUAACUCACCAUCAUAUCCGAUUUGAACUAGGGGUUAACAGCUCUCAUCCAACCAUCUUCUUGGUUCGUAUUAACAAAUUUCGGCAACAUCUCUGUUUUGCAGGUUACCAUCAGAUUGGACCUGGAUCUGGUACAAACAAACAUCUUAGAGAGGAUGCAGAAAUUGCUAUGCAAGGAUUCAUCAAUUUUGCUCAAUAUACAUCUAGUAUACAUCUCGCAGGUUUUUGAUAAAAUGUCAGCGUUUGAACUCACCUAAAAAUUAAGCGCUAAAUCAUUCAAAAUCCAAGAGAAAUCACCAGAAAGAAUUACUAAAAAUUUAGAAGAAGAAUUAAAUAAGCCGUAUAACUAGGGGUCUGCACGGGCGAUGUGGGAACAUCAGCAUGGUAAGGCUUCAGAUCUUUUAAAAAGCACAAGA
rnacentral:lncRNA from 1 species